rnacentral:rRNA from 1 species
UACGAAGGGGGCUAGCGUUGCUCGGAAUCACUGGGCGUAAAGGGCGCGUAGGCGGAUCUUUAAGUCAGGGGUGAAAUCCUGGAGCUCAACUCCAGAACUGCCUUUGAUACUGAGGAUCUUGAGUACGGGAGAGGUGAGUGGAACUGCGAGUGUAGAGGUGAAAUUCGUAGAUAUUCGCAAGAACACCAGUGGCGAAGGCGGCUCACUGGCCCGUAACUGACGCUGAGGCACGAAAGCGUGGGGAGCAAACAGG